GACACAGACCAUGUGUAUUUUAACACACCCUACAGCUUUCCACCCAGAGAGCAGGUGAAUAUGAGUGAAGAUUAUUGAAUGACAACAAAAUAAAAUUAAUUGUAACUGCUGUGCAUGAAGUCAUGUUUUUUGUGUGUCGUGAUUAAGGACAAUGACGGCAUGGACCAACACAACGUGGUCAGCAUUCUGAAAAUUUUUUUGUAUCACAUGAAAAUAUUUUUUGCCUUUACUGUUGUCAGUCUAUAACUCAUGGUUAAUAUCUUGUUACCUGCAACAUGACAGACUAAUGUCUACAUGAAAGAUGUCCUUUUGUUCACCUCAUUACUCAGGCAACCAUCCAUGCACUUUCAGCUGUCCAUGAAUGUUGACCAGACAAAGCCACAGAAAUGUACGGCAGUGUGACUGGAGUGAGAGGCAGCUGAUGUCCUAUGCCAUGGAACUGCUCAUAUACUCGGAGAAAUUCAGAAAAGCUCUGGACUCAUCUCAUUGUGUGGACAUUUUUAUUUUUUAUUUUUCGAAGGUUUUUGUAAGGCCAAUAAAAGCUGUUGCUGGAUGGUUCAUUUGUCUCAACUUUUUUUCUAAAGCCAAACUUUUCUGCUUUUGUGUUUACAGCAUAUUCUUUCCAGAUUAGUGUAUGGUCAAUAU
rnacentral:lncRNA from 1 species